rnacentral:rRNA from 1 species
AAUGAAUUGACGGGGGCCCGCACAAGCGGUGGAGCAUGUGGUUUAAUUCGAUGCAACGCGAAGAACCUUACCUGGUCUUGACAUCCACAGAACUUGGCAGAGAUGCCUUGGUGCCUUCGGGAACUGUGAGACAGGUGCUGCAUGGCUGUCGUCAGCUCGUGUUGUGAAAUGUUGGGUUAAGUCCCGCAACGAGCGCAACCCUUAUCCUUUGUUGCCAGCGGUUCGGCCGGGAACUCAAAGGAGACUGCCAGUGAUAAACUGGAGGAAGGUGGGGAUGACGUCAAGUCAUCAUGGCCCUUACGACCAGGGCUACACACGUGCUACAAUGGCAUAUACAAAGAGAAGCGACCUCGCGAGAGCAAGCGGACCUCAUAAAGUAUGUCGUAGUCCGGAUUGGAGUCUGCAACUCGACUCCAUGAAGUCGGAAUCGCUAGUAAUCGUGGAUCAGAAUGCCACGGUGAAUACGUUCCCGGGCCUUGUACACACCGCCAAGUCACACCAUGGGAGUGGGUUGC